rnacentral:rRNA from 1 species
AUUGAACGCUGGCGGCAGGCUUAACACAUGCAAGUAGAGCGAGCGGCGGACGGGUGUGUAAUGUCUGGGAAACUGCCUGAUGGAGGGGGAUACCUACUGGAAACGGUAGCUAAUACCGCAUACCAUCAGAUGUGCCCAGAUGGGAUUAGCUAGUAGGUGGGGUAAUGGCUCACCUAGGCGACGAUCCCUAGCUGGUCUGAGAGGAUGACCGGCCACACGGGAACUGAGCAACGGUCCAGACUCCUACGGGAGGCGGCAGUGGGGAAUAUUGGACAAUGGGCGCAGGCCGGACGCGGCCAUGCCGGGGGGAUGAAGAGGGCCUUCGGGUUGUAAAGUACGUUCAGCGGGGAGGCGUUACCCGCAGAAGAAGCACCGGCUAACUACGUGCCAGCAGCCGCGGUAAUUC